UGGGGAAUUUUGGACAAUGGGCGAAAGCCUGAUCCAGCAAUGCCGCGUGUGUGAAGAAGGCCUUCGGGUUGUAAAGCACUUUUGUCCGGAAAGAAAUCCUUGGCUCUAAUACAGUCGGGGGAUGACGGUACCGGAAGAAUAAGCACCGGCUAACUACGUGCCAGCAGCCGCGGUAAUACGUAGGGUGCAAGCGUUAAUCGGAAUUACUGGGCGUAAAGCGUGCGCAGGCGGUUUGCUAAGACCGAUGUGAAAUCCCCGGGCUCAACCUGGGAACUGCAUUGGUGACUGGCAGGCUAGAGUAUGGCAGAGGGGGGUAGAAUUCCACGUGUAGCAGUGAAAUGCGUAGAGAUGUGGAGGAAUACCGAUGGCGAAGGCAGCCCCCUGGGCCAAAUACUGACGCUCAUGCACGAAAGCGUGGGGGAGCAAAACAGGAUUAGAUACCCUGGUAGUCCACGCCCUAAAACGAUGUCAACUAGUUGUUGGGGAUUCAUUUCCUUAGUAACGUAGCUAACGCGUGAAGUUGACCGCCUGGGGAGUACGGUCGCAAGAUUAAAACUCAAAUGAAUUGACGGGGUCAUAGCUGUUUCCU
rnacentral:rRNA from 1 species